GGUAAGCUGCCUCCUGUGAUCCAAUGUUCAGUCAGUGGCAAAAUGACUCCUGAGCAGUGGAGUAAGGUGACCAAGGAAUCAAUAGACUGAAUUAGUCUGGACUCUAUCAACUUGAGAAGUCAUGUUGCUACUUUUGGCCUUUGCAUGUGACAAGCUGGCCUGGAGCUGCUGCCAUGGUGGUCUGGAGAAUGCAUCCUCUGAUCUUCAACACAGAAGGCAGAGACCAAUGAGACCCCAGCUGCUGAGCUGUGACAUCCACUGGAUUAAUUUGUAUGAAGGCUUUGUCUCCUGUGGAAACAGUACUGCCAAGUGACCUCCACCACUUUGAAAAUCAACAUUGAGUCCACUUUAAGGGAAUGUGUCUUGACAAAUAGUUCUUUGUUCCAUAGAAAGUAAUGGAAGGACUCUUGUAAUAUGAGAGGGGGUGUAAGCCUUUGAAAAUAAAACAAAUUUUUUUGUUGCAAGAAAUAAUUUUGAGAGGAGCCCUUCAUAUCCUUAUGCAUAUGAAUUAUACGGUAGAAAUCAAAGGAUCUACAGGGUCUUGCAGUCUACAGAGGACAGAAAGGAAGAUGUCUUGAAAAUUUAGCAAAACAAGAUACAGUGCUUAAUGCUCUGCAUACUUUAAGUAAUCUUUAUAAUACCCCAUGAAGGAGGAAAUAUCAUCUUCAUUAAGG